rnacentral:lncRNA from 1 species
AGUCACCGCCACCACCAAAAUAUUAUAAGUCCCCAGUUUACUACAAGUCUCCACCACCACCAACUUAUUAUGAGAAAUUACCUUCGUAUUACAAGUCACCUCCACCUCCUCCAAAAUAUUAUAAGUCCCCGGUUUACUACAAGUCUCCACCACCACCAAUUUAUUAUGAGAAAUCACCUUCGUAUUACAAGGCACCUCCACCUCCUCCAAAAUAUUAUAAGUCGCCGGUUUACUACAAGUCUCCACCACCACCAACUUAUUAUGAGAAAUCCCCUUUGUAUUACAAGUCACCUCCACCUCCUCCAAAAUAUUAUGAGCAAUCACCUUAUUACAAGUCAUCUCCAUCCCCACCAAAAUACUAUGAGCAAUCACUAUCUUCUUAUAAAUCUCCACCUCCUCCAUACUACAAAGGAUCUACACCUUCCUAUAAAUCUCCUCCACCUCCACCAAAAUAUUACGAGCAACCACCUAUAACUUACAACUUGCCCUCUCUACCAAAGAUCUAUGAAAAAUUACCAUCUUAUUACUCACCUCCACCACCAACAAACUAUUACAAGCAAACUCCCACCUAUGCCUCACCUCCACCACCUGAGAAGUACGAGCAAUCCCCUACACCUGCGUCACCUCCACCCCCAUCAGCAUCUCCUCCGCCAACCUACUACUAAUUUUAACUAUUCAAUUAUUUUCCGCCAUUUCCAUGACUUUUAAUUCCUUUUUGUCCUCUUAUCUUUAGCAACUCCAUUUCAUCCGCCAAAAUUUGAUGCAUGCUUCCCGAAAUGUUCGGCUUUUGCUUAUUGUGUGUUCAAUGUUAUUCUGUUUUAUUAAUUUGUAUUAUGUAUUUAUUUGAGAUUUAAGUAAGAUCCUCAUGAUAUCUAUCAAUUCUGAUAUUUGAGUUACAAAAUACUGUGAUUUUCCUUUGUUAUUUUUUUUAUUCUAUAAAUUUUUAUAUUACAUAGUUCAAGUAGGGAAUGAUUUAAUGGACAAAAUUUAGUUGAUUUCGAAUUCCUAAUAUUUUUGUGAAAUAACAAAUGACUAUUCCUAUUCUUAAAUAUUAGAAAAAUAAUAAAAUGACUAUUUUGCUUAGUGUGAAAUCUAAUUUGAAGGGGUAUAAAAGGCGAAAGAUAUUUUGCUAAGGACUUUCGUGUUUGUAAUAUAGUAUAGAUAAUGAACAAAUGAAAUUAUGAAAAAUUAAAAUAGAUUUUAAUCUAUAAUGAACAAAUGAAGUUAUGAAAAAUUAAAAUAGAUCAUAAUCUAAAUUUUCAUUGAGACCCAAGUCUUUUGAUUUUGAAAGAAGAAAACUCGCAAAUUGGAGCCGCUUUUUUGAGUGUAUUCGCUUGAAGUGACAGAAAAACUAAUAAAAUAAAGGAAAGAAAAAUAUGGAAAUUAAGAAAAUGACAAAUAGGAAAUCGGGAGAUAAUCGAAAAGCGAAAGAAUGAGACAAAAGGAAAUAUAAAGAGGAAUUUUAGAACCUCACUAGCUGCGUGCACUGCUACUAUAUAAAGCAAAAGGAAUUGGAAACUAUGAUCACUCCUAAGGCAGCCUUUUGGGUAGUGAGGAAAAUAUUGGAUAGUAGAACUAUUGUCAUGGACAAUCAACAACGCAGCCUCCUGGACAGUUUACACAGUUACUGUACAGUGGAGCAAUUCCAUAUUCAGAAACUGUACCACAACCUGCUGCCAAAUUUCAGCAAAGUUCCAUGGAGAGGUCUGAUGCUUCUAACUAAUGCCCACCCUAGAUACAGAUUUAUUAUGUGGUUAGCAGCACAGAAAAGGCUUCCUACUGUAGACAGAUUGAUAAAGAUAGGCGUCCAAGUUCCUGCAAAUUGUAUAUUCUGCCAACACCAGAUAGAAACAUUUGAUCACCUCUUCUUUGAAUGUUCAAUUACAAAGAGGUUGUGGACUAGAUUUUGCAUCUGGCUGGGACAUCAUAGGACAGUAGGUACCUGAGAAACUGAACUGCAAUGGAUAUGUUCUAAGGCAAAAAGUAGAGUGGCCCUUAAUGCUAUAACAACUUGUGUGUUCAUCAAUACAAUUGCAAUUAUCUGGAAGGAAAGGAAUAGAAGCAGAUUUGAAUUGAAUAAGUAUGAAGAGACUCAUGUCUGUAGAGAGAUUUCCAUGCUUAUACAUACCAGAGGUAGAAAAUGUACUCGAUGGAAGACUGGCUUGAGCAAAAUAGAUAGAUUUCCUUAGCUAUGUUUGUAUGAAUUUCCAUUCUGAGUUUAAGUAGUACUUCAUAAAUAGGACCUCAGUCUAAAGUUGAUGUAAACUAGUUGGAGCAAGUCAAAAGCUACCUACUGGAAUUACCUUGUACAUCUUUGAUAUUAAUGAAUACAAUGUUUUAUCAAAAAAAAAAAAAUUUUAGAAAUCACUAUUGUUUAGUGGUUAUUAACUUCCUAUAGCUAUUAUGUACAUAAUUACUUCCUCUAGCUAUUAUUCAGUUGUUACAAUAGUGUUUUCGUUGUAUUCACGCUGUUGUAUUCAUGAAUACAACAACAAAAAAUGCCUAAAAAUCAGGACAAUUCAGCUGUACGCACAUUUAUUCGCACCAUGUUUCAUGCAUACAAAAUUAAAAAGCACCUAAAAUCAGCACAUUCCAGCUGUACGUGCAUGUAUUCACAUGUAUUCGCGACAUGUAUUCAUGAAUACAACAACAAAAAAAGCCUAAAAUUAAGGCAAUCUAGCUGUACGCACAUGUAUUCACAUGUAUCGCAUUGCUGUAUUCAUGAAUACAGCUAGGGGUGUACAUAGAUCGGGUUGGUUCAGAUUUUACAAUUACCAAACUAAAUCAAUAGUGUUGGGUUAUUAAAUCUAAAGACCAAACAUAAACAAUUAAAACUCGGGGUUUUCACUCUCGGUUUAUCGGAUUUUUUGGUUAUUCAAAAUUUUUUCCGGUAAAUAUUCGUAGAACAAAACACAUAAAUUGUGCUCAAACUACUUCUUUAGUCCUAGUAAGAUACAACUAUAUAAAGUAUUUUUCAAGAAAAUAAUACAAAAUAUGNNNNNNNNNNNNNNNNNNNNNNNNNNNNNNNNNNNNNNNNNNNNNNNNNNNNNNNNNNNNNNNNNNNNNNNNNNNNNNNUCAUUAUCCUAAAAUAUCCAACAAUAAAGACAAUAAAAUUAUGUAAUAUAAAUAUUGUUAGUUCAAAAUCCAUGAUAACAAUAAGUAUAAUCUAAAAGUACUAAGUUAUGCUAAAAUAAGUAGACUAACAAGGGAGUAUUAAUUACAUAGCUAAAUGCUAAAGAUAAAAUAAAAAUAGGUUAUAUGUGUUUUUAUCUAAAUUAUUACAAAACAAAAAAUAGACAUUCAAUACAUUCCCGUUUGUAGUAUUGAAUUGAAUGUCUUUUGUUAGUAUUAAUAUUGAUUUGAUUUGGUUUGGGCUUUUACUCGCACUAUUUAAUUUACUAAUGUUAAUGGCUAUAAAACUUAUUUGAACAAAAGUUCUAAGUCCAAUCUUGAAAAAAUAAUUCAAAAGAUAAAAUUAUGAAUUUUUUUAAGGAAUAUUUCUAAAAUACAUCACAAUAAGUAUAUUUAUAUAUUAAAUAUACUUAAAUUUUCUAUAUAUGUAAUGUCGAGUUGGUUUGGUUUUGGUUUAACUUUCUUUAGUUAAAAUCAAACCAUAUCAAUUAUGGUUGAUUUUUUUUCCCAACACCAAAUCAAAUCAAACCAAAUCAUAGACGGAUUUUUUUUCUCGGGUUGACUCAGAUUAUCGGGUUAGUGGGGUUUGUCAGUUUCCUUUAUACACCCCAAAUACAAUAGUAGAAAACCCUAAAAUCAGGGCAGUCCAACGGUAGGCGCAUGAGUAUUCGCGCCAUGUAUUCAUGAACACAGUAACGACAAUUACCUUAAAAAUAGGUAUAUACAGCUGUCUAAGAAAGAGGAAAAAUAUAAAUAGCUUAUUUCAUGCCUUAAUGAUAGUAUAUACCAUAAAUACUUAUUUUGCUAUAAACUAUAAAAGAUAGCUAUAGAAAAUUAUAUUUCCAGCUGUCUAAGAAAGAUGAAAAACAUAAAUAGCUUAUUUCAUGCCUUAAUGGUAGUAUAUACCAUAAAUACUUAUUUUGCUAUAAACUAUAAAAGGUAGCUAUAUAAAGUAGGGUGAAUGCCUUUGCUAUAGGAAGUAAAUUUCCAAAUAUAAAACACAAAAAGGGAGCCAAAUUAAAUUUAACCUAAAUUCGAAUUUGGGUCUUACACAGAAAAUCUUCCAAAUAGGCCUCCCAACAAUGUCAUAUAUGUUUAGUUUGCGAUUCCGGGUGGUAGGAUUAUAUAUUUAAUUUAGUUUGAAAAAACUUUCAGCAUAGGUAUGUAAAUUUUUUGUCAACCUAGCGGGUGCCACGCCUCCCUCACCAUAAGGGGUGGAUCCGCCAAUGGGUAUAUUUGGCACCUCCCAUCUGAACACGUAGCGAGUAACUCUAACCAACUUUGCUUAGGUAGGAAGAAACCAUUUAGUUUGUUGGAGACUAAUAUUAAUAUUACUAAACUUCUUGUUUGAGAUGCAAUCAAAUGUUAGAUACCUCCUCUCCACACCCAUAACAAAUAGUCAAUUCCUUAACUUCACCAAUUGUAUACCAGUCGUGGCAACCUUAUUUCAUUUUCAAUUUAAUAUUCUUUUUUUUUUCUAUCACCAGGAGAAUGCUUGCCACUAAGUAGUGACCAUGUCUUUAUUUGGACUUUGCUAUCAUCUUAGUGGUUAACCAUGAUGCAGUUAUAUAAAUGUUAAAGAAAGAUGUCUCCCUGCAGUAUAAAACUAGAGUUCCUUACUCAACUAUGCAACACAAGUCUUAGUUCUAUCCUUCUCUUGUCCCGAUAUAGCUGCAAAAUGAGAAGCUUUGGGAAUUUAGGGCAAUGGCCUCUUCUUGCUGCUGCUUUGGCAAUUUGCUUUGUAGCCAACAUUGUUUUUGCUGAUUACACUUAUGGGUAUAUUUCUACCUCAUCUUCUUACAUUUCUUACGUUUUACAAAUCACCAUCUUCACCCAAGUAUCAUGUACCUACUCCUUUCUACAAGUCACCUGCUUCAGCAAUACACUACUACAAGUCACUAGUUCCCGUAAAAGGGAAAAUACUACAAGUCGCCAUCUCCCGCAAAAUACUACAAGUCCCCAGCUCCCGCUAAAUACUACAAGUCGCCAGCUCCUUCAAAGAGCUACUACAAGUCGCCAGCUCCCGCAAAAUACUACAAGGCGCCGUCUCCCGAAAAAUACUACGAGUCGCCAGCUCCCGCUAAAUAUCCCUCGUGGAAUAGUUGGGGUACUUGAGGUGUAAUCUGUAUUUCGCAUUGUGGAAAUUUGGAUCAAGCAUGUUGAUUCAUGUGCUAUGAGUAGUAGGAGACUGGGAGUUCUCCGAUGCAGUUUAUGCGAUAAUUGAGGAUCGUGUGUGUUGUAUUGGUACUGUCAGCGACUAUUGGGAAUUCGGAAGCCGAGUGGAUCUUUCCGUGCUUAGUAUAUUAAAUUCUGGAUAUGUUAUGGGGAUAUAGAGUGAUUGUCUCAGUGUCGGCUUAUUCUAAAUGAUUGUGCUCUAAGUAAUGUUGGGAAAUGCCACAUGUUGCGUGGCGGGGUGUAUCGGACUAUGUUCUAGUUGCUAAAUGAUUGUGCUAUGAGUAAUGUUGGUAAAUGCCACAGGUUGCGUGGCGGGGGUGUAUCGGACUAUGUUCUAGCUGGAUGGUUGUGUACCAAAGACUAGCGAUCAUCUGGGAAGAAUUGCGUUCCUUAAUUGGGCCUUCGAGACGGGUUUCAGCAUAGAGGUUUUUACCAUUGAUUUCGGUUCAUGUAUUGAGGGACUUUUCAGAUACGUCCUUGUAGUCGGGCAUGUCGCCGGGCGAGACUGUGGAUUUCAGUAAUUAUCUGGUGCUGGUUACCAUGUCGUGCGUCUUCGUCAUGAGUCGUAGUAGUGGGAGUGGAAUUUUGUAUCUUACAACGCUAAUAAGAUAUCUUUAUGCACUCAGCUGCUUCGACCGAUAUUGGUAUUUUGUUAUUAUGAGCAAAUUUGGCUCGAUGUGCACCUCCCUAUGUGAGAUAUUGUGUGGAUCGUGUGGCACGCCGCCACGAGUAUGAGCAAUUUGGUUCGAUUUGUACCUCCCUAUGUGAGGCAUGUUGUGUGGAUUGGGUGGCACGCCGCCACGAGUAUGUUAUCUGGAUCGGGUUGCGCGCCGAAAUAGUGUGAGGUUGAGAAUAGCUUUCCAUGUGUUGCUUUGUAAUCCUUGCUUCCCGGCUUCUGAGGAAACUUCGUAUUGAGAAUUUUUUGGCAGAUAGUGUGUCGGUUGUGUCCUUUCAGGACUGAAUAGGGUAUUUUACUUGUUUCCCCGUGAGUGUGAGGGGUAAUUUGGUUUCAGGCAUAGAUCUGUGCAUGGCUUUCUACUGUGAGCAUGGUAACACGAGGCGCUUCAUGUGUAACGGUGUUGGGAUAGGAUCGCGUGUUGUGGCGAGGCCACGUGAAGUUAUGACCUCUCGAGGAGGAUUCAGGUACUCUAUUCUUAUGACGUGAGACAGGGUCUCAAUUUGGUUUUGUGAAGGUAUUGAUGAGCGUGAGGCAUAACUCUUCUGGUUGAGUCAUUUGCCUGAUUUGGGUAUGUAUAGACUGUUCCUUAUUAGCGCGUGUAUUAUGCAAUUGUGGCUUAGGCCUGUAUUGAGGCACCAUAUCACCCGAAGUGGUGUGAUUGAUUCGAGGUGAUCAUUGGGUUACUAAUAAGUAUAUGUAAUAUACAAUUGUGGCUUAGGCCUGUAUUGAGGCACCAUAUCACCCGAAGUGGUGUGAUUGAUUCGAGGUGAUCAUUGGGUUACUAAUAAGUAUGGGCAUAUUUGAUUUCAGCUGGUUAGAGUGGUAACAUCGAGGUUUGGCCCAAAAAAAAAAUCAUUUGUGGUAAUAGUCAACUUGGAUGUGACUUCAUGAACGGUUGAUCUGAAGAACUGCUACGGUUUGUUGCGUGUUUUAGUGAUCGUUGGCAAUAUGCGGAAGUGUUGGAAUAAGACUUUAGCUAGAUAAGAGGUUUCCUAUUGGUAAUUGAGUACUGUGGGAAACUGCUGUGAAUAGAGACUAUUGUUCCGAGUGUUGGAAUGUGGUGUAUAUUGUAUGAGUUCACCUGAGGUUGCAGGUGUGGUUUUUACAGCUGGUUCGAAUUGAUUUUGAGUAUAGAUGCAAGGUUCUGAUCUUGUGUGUGAUUUCGGGUAGUGCAGUGUGAUUGAUUUUGAGUAUAGAUGCGAGGUUCUGAUCUUGUGUGUGAUUUCGGGUAGUGCAGUGUGGUUCUACUGUUUAUGGUCCAGAUGGAUUGUGAAAUUUUAGCUGUGUUGUGUUAUCGGUACCUAUGUGAGUUAGGGUGACGUGGGAUCACCCCGAUCAUAUGAGUGGCAAUGUCGUGUGGUUAUUGGGUUUCUUCUAGUACAACUCUGGGUACGCUCGAGGACGAGCGUUCGCUUAAGUUGGGGAGGAUGUGACGACCCGACCCGUCAUCUCCGUAUUUCAGCCCCGUUAUCCCCGUAUUAUUCUUCCGCAUGUGUUGAUAUAUGUGUUUGGUGAGUUGAAAGUGCGUUGGAUUGAAUUUGGUUAGAGUAUUUCAACUCCGUUAUCCCCGUAUUAUGCUUCCCCGUGUGUUGAUAUAUGUGUUUGGUGAGUUGGAAAUAUAUUGGGUUUAAUUUGGUUAGAAAUGAGACGAAUAGUCUCUUUAAGGAAAGCUUAAGUUGGCAAAACCAACGGAUAUUGACUUAUGAGUUAGAGGGCUUGGAAUGGAUUUCCGGCCAUUCUACUAGUUUCGGAUGAUGAUUUGUGACUUGGGAGAGAAGGCGGAAUUGAAUUUGGAGGCCCGGUGUAGAAUUAGGCUUGAAUUGGCUAAGUUAAAUUUCGCCGAAUUCCGGUUGAUAGGUGAGAUUUUGAUCUGGGGUUCGGAAUGGAAUUCCAAGAGUUGCAGUAGCUUCGUUAGGUGAUUCGGGUUAUGCCUGCAAAUUUUCAAGUCAUUCGGGCUUUGUUUGGUUGGUUUCGGCAUCGAAUGAGAUUUUGAGAGGUUCAUGUUUAUCUUAGGCUUUGAUUUGAUGAUUUUGGUGAUUUUUUGUUUUUAAGCUAGUGUUUUUAUGGCUCAAGCAAGUUUGAAUGAGGUAUUUGGUCAUAAUUGUGUUUUGGUUUGGACCCCGGGGGCCUCGGGGUGAUAUCGGAUGGUUAAACGAGGACUUUUUGGAGUUAAGCUUGAAAAAUGGUUGUUGCUUCUGGUAUUUUUGCGGAAAUGGCAGGGAGACCACUUAAGCGGGUGUCCACAGAAGUGGACAAUAAGCCGCAGAAGCGGUCAAGGGGGAAGCAAGAGACCGCAGAAGCGGUCAAAGGGACCGCUUACGUGGGAGUCGCGGAAGCGGUAGAUCGACCACAGAAGCGGCCGCUGAAGAAAUAGGCAGACGUGGAAGCAAUCAACUGGACGGGGAAGCGAGGACCGUUGAAGCGGAAAAAUACCGCGGAAGCGGAAAUCGUCCAAUUUUAAUGAAAUCAGAGGGUUUAAUAUUUUGAAAAGGAGAAGAACAAUAGAACUUCGGGCUGAGGCGAAUGAGAGAGGUUUGGAGAGAUUUUCGAUGGGAUUCUUCAAGUAUGAUCUCUUAGACCUCGAAUAUGUUAUUAUGGUGCUAAAUCAUGGAUUAAAUACUUAGAAAUCAAGGUCUUUAGUGUCAAAUGGUGGUUAGGGCUUGAAACACAGGUGAACCUUUAAGUGUUGAUUUGUGGGGGUCAAAUGGACUCUGAUUCUUGUAAAUUUGAUAUGUAUGGACUCGUGGCGAGACGAGAAUUCUGAAAAUGUGAAUUUCGUAAUUUUUCGAGAAGUGGGCUCAGGGCUCGGGUUUUGCCAACUUCGUAUUUUUGGGUGUAUUUCGAGUUCUUUCGAUUGGGUUAUGUUCCAUUAGCCUAUUGUGACGUAUUCCUAUUAUUUUUGGUGUAUUUCGAGAUAUUUCAAUUGGGUUAUGUUCCAUUAGUCUAUUUUGACGUAUUCCUAUUGGUUUUGAGCAGAUUUGGCAUCCGCGGAGGUUGAUUCUCGAGGGGAAGGGAUUAUGAGCUAGUUUCUGGCCGGCUUGAGGUAAGUAAUGUGUGUAGAUGAUGACCCGAGGGUUCGAAACCCCGGUAUAUCACAUUGUGACGCUCUAUUGAGGCGAGACACGUAUUCUAUUGAGAGUGCAUGGUCGAUUAUGAUUGGGAACUAUGGCUUCGGAACCCCGGCAUAUCACAUUGUGGCGCUGUAUUGAGGCGCGACACAUACUCUAGUACGAGUGCGGGGUCGAUUAUGAUUGGGGACUAUGGCUUAGUCCGACCGCAUGUUCCGUAGUGGUCAUGCAUUGCAUUGCAUCUCAUGCAUUUAUUUACUGUUGCUUUAUAUGGAUUUAUCUGAGGCUUGUACUGUAUAUAACUGUUUAACUAGCUUUACUCUGUGCUUUAUUUUGGAUUUCCUGCUUUCGGGUUUUUAUACAUGCUUAUUACUCGUGAGGUUGUAGACUCACCCCAUACUCCCUGCACCUUGUGUGCAAAUUCGGGUGCUCCAGAGACUUAGUUCUGCUGCUGUUGAUUUUCGAGCUAUUAAGGGUAUUGAGGUAGCUGCCCAGCGUCCGCAGGACCAUUUAGUCUGUCUCUAUCAGUCAUGUUCUUUUGCUAUUUUAUCAGACUCUGUAUCAUUUCCAUUCAGACUUGCAUUCUGUUUUGUUAGAGGCUCUGGACUCGUGACUCCUCGGUUUUAGGGAGGAUUAUUAUUCAGCUAUGUUUUUCUUGGGUAUGAAUUACCCCUUGGGUUGAGAGUUUGUUAUUGAAUUUCGCUGGUUAUUCCUAAACUAUUUCUCUUUGGGUUGGGAUGUCGUUCUUAAUUGUGGUUCGGAUUGAGAGUUUGUUAUUGAAUUUAGCUGGUUAUUCCUAAACUAUUUCUCUUUGGGCUGGGAUGCCGUUCUUAAUUGUGGUUUGGUCGGCCUUGCCUAUCCUCGCGGCCGGGCGCCAUCACGAGCGAGUUUGUGUCGUGACAGCUCGCAAAUUGGAGCCGCUUUUUUGAGUGUAUUCGCUUGAAGUGACAAAAAACUAAUAAAAUAUAGGAAAGAAAAAUUUGGAAAUUAAGAAAAAGACAAAUAGGAAAUUGGGAGAUAACCAAAAAGCGAAAGAAUGAGACUAAAGGAAAUAUAAAGAGGAAUUUUUAGAAAUCACUAUUGUUUAGUGGCUAUUAACUUCCUAUAGCUAUCAUAUACAUAAUUACUCCCUCUAGCUAUUAUUCAGUUGUUAUAAUAGUUAGAAAUCACUAUUGUUUAGUGGUUAUUAACUUCCUAUAGCUAUCAUAUACAUAAUUACUUCCUCUAGCUAUUAUUCAGUGGUUACAAUAGUAUCUUCGUUGUAUUCACGCUGUUGUAUUCAUGAAUACAACAACAAAAAAUGCCUAAAAAUCAGGAAAAUCCAGCUGUACGCACAUGUAUUCGCACCAUGUAUUCAUGCAUACAAAAUUAAAAAGCACCUAAAAUCAGCGCAGUCCAGCUGUACGCGCAUGUAUUCUCAUGUAUUCGCGGCAUGUAUUCAUGAAUACAACAACAAAUAAUUCCUAAAACUAAGGCAAUCUAGUUGUACGCACAUGUAUUCACAUGUAUCGCAUUGCUGUAUUCAUGAAUACUGCUAGCGGUGUACAUAGGUCGGGUUGGUUCGGAUUUUACAAUUACCAAACCAAAUCAAUUGUGUUGGGUUAAUAAAUCUAAAAACCAAACCAAACCAAUAAAACUCGGUUUUCACUCUCGGUUUCUCGGAUUUUUUGGUUAUUAAAAUUUUUUUCCGGUAAAAUAUUCGUAGAAUAAAACACAUAAAUUGUGCUCAAAGUACUUCUUUAGUCCUAGUAAGAUACAACUAUAUAAAGUAUUUUUCAAGAAAAUAAUAAAAUAUGAGAGAUGUCAUGGCAUUAUCCUAAAAUAUCCAACAAUAAAGACAAUAAAAUUAUGUAAUAUUAAUAUUGUUAGUUAAAAAUCCAUAAUAACAAUAAAUAUAAUUUAAAAAUACUAAGUCAUGCUAAAAUAAGUAGACUAACAAGGGAGUAUUAAUUACAUAACUAAACGCUAAAGAUAAAAUAAAAAUAGGUUAUAGAAUUCCUAAUAUUUUUGUGAAAUAGCUAAUGACUAUUCCUAUUUUUAAAUAUUAGAAAAAAUAAUAAAAUGACUAUUUUGCUUAGUGUGAAAUUUAAUUUUAAGGGGUAUAAAAAGCGAACGAUAUUUUGCUAAGGGCUUUUGUGUUUUUAAUAUAGUAUAAAUAAUGAAUAAAUGAAAUUAUGAAAAAUUAAAAUAGAUUUUAAUCUAUUAUGAACAAAUGAAGUUAUGAAAAAAUUAAAAUAGAUCAUAAUCUAAAAUUGUCAUUGAGACCCAAGUCUUUCGAUUUUGAAAGAAGAAAACUCGCAAAUUGGAGCCGCUUUUUUGAGUGUAUUCGCUUGAAGUGGCAGAAAAACUAAUAAAAUAAAUGAAAGAAAAUAUGGAAAUUAAGAAAAAGACAAAUAGGAAAUGGGAGAUAACCGAAACGCGAAAGAAUGAGACAAAAGGAAAUAUAAAGUGGAAUUUUUAGAAACUACUAUUGUUUAGUGGCUAUUAAUUUCCUAUAGCUAUCAUCUACAUAAUUACUUUCUCUAUCUAUUAUUCAUUUGUUACAAUAGUGUCUUCGUUGUAUUCAUGCUGUUGUAUUCAUGAAUACAACAACAAAAAAUGCCUAAAAAUCAGGACAAUUCAGCUGUACGCACAUGUAUUCAUGCAUACAAAAUUAAAAAGCACCUAAAAUCAGCACAGUCCAGCUGUACACGCAUGUAUUCGCGACAUGUAUUCAUGAAUACAACAACAAAAAAUGCCUAAAAUUAAGGCAAUCUAGCUGUACGCACAUGUAACAUGUAUCGCAUUGCUGUAUUCAUGAAUACGGCUAGGGGUGUAUAUAGGUCGGGUUGGUUCGGAUUUUAGCAAUUACCAAACUAAAUCAAUUGUGUUGGGUUAUUAAAUCUAAAGACCAAACCAAACCAACAAAACUCGGGUAUUUCACUCUCGGUUUCUCGGAUAUUUUGGUGAUUCAAUUUUUUUUUCCGGUAAAAUAUUCGUCGAACAAAAUAUAGAAAUUGUGCUCAAAGUACUUCUUUAGUCCUAGUAACAUACAACUAUAUAAAUUAUUUUUCAAGAAAAUAAUACAAAAUAUGAGAGAUGUCAUGGCAUUAUCCUAAAAUCCAACAAUAAAGACAAUAAAAUGAUGUAAUAUAAAUAUUGUUAGUUAAAAAUCCAUAAUAACAAUAAAUAUAAUCUAAAAGUACAGUCAUGCUAAAAUAAGUAGACUAACAAGGGAGUAUUAAUUACAUAACUAAACACUAAAGAUAAAAUAAAAAUAGGUUAUGUGUUUUAUCUAAAUUAUAACAAAACAAAAAUAGACAUUCAAUACAUUCCCGUUCGUAGUAUUGAAUUGAAUGUCGUUUGUUAGUAUUAAUAUUGAUUUGAUUUUGGUUUGAGCUUUUGUUAGCACUAUUUAAUUUACUAAUGUUAAUUGCUAUAAAACUUAUUUGAACAAAAGUUCUAAGUCCAACCUUGAAAAAAUAAUUCAAAAGAUAAAAUUAUGAAAUUCUUAAGGAAUAUUUAUAAAUUACAUCAUAAUAAGUAUAUUUAUAUAUUAAAUAUACCUAAGUUUUCUAUAUAUGUAAUGUCGAGUUGGUUUGGUUUUGGUUUAACUUUCUUUAGUUAAAAUCAAACCAAACCAAUUAUGGUUGAUUUUUUUUCCCAACACCAAGCCAAUUCAAACCAAAUCAUAGUCGAAUUUUUUUUCUCGGGUUGACUCAGAUUAUCGGGUUAGUGGGGUUUGUCGGUUUCCUUUGUACACCCCUAGAUACAAUAGUAGAAAACCCUAAAAUCAUGGCAGUCCAACUGUAGGCGCAUGAGUAUUCGCGCCAUGUAUUCAUGAACACAGUAACGACAAUUACCUUAAAAAUAGGUAUAUACAGCUGUCUAAGAAAGAGGAAAAAUAUAAAUAGCUUAUUUCAUGCCUUAAUGAUAGUAUAUACCAUAAAUACUUAUUUUGCUAUAAACUAUAAAAGAUAGCUUGAAAAACAUAAAUAGCUUAUUUUAUGCCUUAAUGGUAGUAUAUACCAUAAAUACUUAUUUUGCUAUAAACUAUAAAAGGUAGCUAUAAAAAAUAAUAUUUUUAAAUAAUUUUGAUUUAUAAUAAAUAGGGUGGAUGCCUUUGCUAUAGGAAGUAAAAUUUCCAAAUAUAAAACACAAAACGGGAGCCAAAUAGAAUUUAACCUAAAUUCUAAUUUGGGUCUUACACAGAAAAUCUUCCAAAUAGGCCUCCCAACAAUGUCAUAUAUGUUUAGUUUGCGAUUUCGGGUGGUAGGAUCAUAUAUUUAAUUUAGUUUAAUAAAAUUUCAGCCUAGGUAUAUAAAUUUUUAUCAACCUAGUGGGUGCCACGCCUCCCUCACCAUAAGGGGUGGUUCCGCCAAUGGGUAUAUUUGGCACCUCCCAUCUGAACACGUAGCGAGUAACUCUAACCAACUUUGCUUAGGUAGGAAGAAACCAUCUAGUUUGUUGGAGACUAAUAUUAAUAUUACUAAACUUCUUGUUUGAGAUGCAAUCAAAUGUUAGAUACAUCAGAAAUGGUUACUUAGCCUUACAGGAAUAAUUACAAUUACACCCCGUGAAACAAAAGAGACUAUUACUAUCAACCAGAAUUGAGUAAAAGAAAAGGACUUGAAGAAGAAAAUAUUGUGAAAACAAGAAAGAAACCUCCUCUCCACACCCAUAACAAAUAGUCAAUUCCUUAACUUCACCAAUUGUAUACCAGUCGUGGCAACCUUAUUUCAUUUUCAAUUUAAUAUUCUUUUUUUUUUCUAUCACCAGGAGAAUGCUUGCCACUAAGUAGUGACCAUGUCUUUAUUUGGACUUUGCUAUCAUCUUAGUGGUUAACCAUGAUGCAGUUAUAUAAAUGUUAAAGAAAGAUGUCUCCCUGCAGUAUAAAACUAGAGUUCCUUACUCAACUAUGCAACACAAGUCUUAGUUCUAUCCUUCUCUUGUCCCGAUAUAGCUGCAAAAUGAGAAGCUUUGGGAAUUUAGGGCAAUGGCCUCUUCUUGCUGCUGCUUUGGCAAUUUGCUUUGUAGCCAACAUUGUUUUUGCUGAUUACACUUAUGGGUAUAUUUCUACCUCAUCUUCUUACAUUUCUUACGUUUUACAAAUCACCAUCUUCACCCAAGUAUCAUGUACCUACUCCUUUCUACAAGUCACCUGCUUCAGCAAUACACUACUACAAGUCACUAGUUCCCGUAAAAUAUUACAAGCGCCAGUUCCCGUAAAAUACUAAAAGUCACCAGCUUCAGUAAAAUACUACAAGGUGCCAGCUCCUGCAAAAUAAUACAAGUCAGCGCCGUCUCUCAAAAAAUACUACGAGUCGCCAGCUCCCGCUAAAUACUACAAGUCGCGAGCUCCCGCAAAAUACUACAAGUCUCCACCACCACUAGCUUAUUAUGAAAAAUCACCUUCGUAUUACAAGUCACCUCCACCUCCUCAAAAAUACUAUGAGCAAUCAGCAUCUUCUUACAAAUCUCCACCUCUACCGUACUAUAAAGCAUCUACACCUUCCUAUAAAUCCCCUCCACCCUCACCAAUAUACUACGAGCAAUCGCCAUCUUCUUACAAAUCUCCACCUCCACCGUACUAUAAAGAGUCUACACCUUCCUAUAAAUCUCCUCCACCGCCACUAAAAUACUUCGAGCAAUCACCAUCUUCUUACAAAUCUCCACCUCCACCAUACAAUAAAGAAUCUACCCCUUCCUAUAAUUCUCCUCCACCGCCACCAAAAUACUACGAGCAAUCACCUAUAACUUACGACUUGCCAUCUCUGCCGAAGACCUACGAAAAAUCACCAUCUUAUUACUCACCUCCACCACCAGCGAACUAUUACAAGCAAACUCCCACCUAUGCCUCACCUCCACCACCUGAAAAGUACGAGCAAUCCGUCACUUAUGCUUCACCUCCACCCCCGUCAGCAUCUCCUCCACCAACCUACUAUUGAUAUUAAUUAUUCAGCCAUUUUCUUCCAUUUCCAUGACUUCUGAUUCCUUUUUGUCCUCUUAUUUUUAGCAACUCCAUUUCUUUCCGCUGUUUCCAUGACUUCUAAUUCCUUUUUGUCCUCUUAUCAUUAGCAGCUCCAUUUCGUCCGCCAAAAUUUGAUGUAUGCUUCUCGAAAUGAUCGGCUUUUGCUUAUUGUGUCUUCAGUGUUCUAUUUUAAUAAUUUGUAUUAUGUAUUUAUUUGGGAUUUAUGAAAGAUCCUCAAGAUCUCCAUCAAUUCUUCUCAUUAUAUCUAGAUAUUGUGCAUUCUACUUUUCUUAAUUUUGUCAUCUUCUUCGUCUCAUAAUGCGUGCUUUAAUCACCUGAAUUCUUUCGUUGGUCCGUUAGCAUAUAGUUCAGGACAUAUAUUCAAACUUAGUUGAAAUUAUUCUUGAGAGCUAUUUUCCCCUAAAAUGAUUUAUAGCCUAUCCACUAAAGAAUUGCUAAAUUAUGAAUAUAUUAAUUUGUUUUAACAGUUACUAAAGAUGUAAGAAAAUAAUUGAAAGGCUAAAAUGGCACACUUCUAAAAUUUGAAUAUUUGACAUAGUGUAUUAAAAGACGGGGACACAAGCUGAGAUAUAAAUUUUGAGACAUGGCGUGUAAGCCCUUGAAUCUUUUUAAUUAUGACAAUUUUUUAGUUACAAUAACUUUGUAUAAUACCAUGAUAUAUAAUCAACUACAAUGUCCUAACAAUGCAAGCAUCAAACGAAAACAAGAAUUAUCUUUGAAACAAAGUGUGAUGUACUUAUGGAGAUGUAAAUGAGUCGAGCAACACUUUCUUCAUGCUACUAAUUUAAAAUUUUCUCCUUUUUAAUGACGAAUUGGUACGAGUCUGUUUGCACAUAUCUUAACUAUUUUCCUGUAUAUCUAAGGGACAUAUUUAUAGCUCAGAUUAUAGGACACAUAAACCUAUAACUAUUUUCCUGUAUAUCUAACGGACAGAUUUAUAGCUCAGAUUAUAGGACACAUAAACCUAUGGUCUCUUUGUCAAACUCGAUAUUUUAAGUAUGUAUUUUCUAGAAUUGGUCUUAUUUUAUCUGCUGGCCCUCAUACUCCAAAAGGAAGUAUAAUGUAUUUGGUCGAAUAAUGAGUUACUUACCCAAAGAAUAAGGAUCAAUUCCACUUAAUACUUAUUUUUGCUCAUUUCUUUUGUGGUGCACUAUGUUUUAGAAAUUUUAGAUACGCCUUUGAUAUAUUUGGUACCUUCCACUUGUACAUGUACCUGAGUAAGUCUAACCAACUUGACUUCGAUAGGAAGAAACCAUCUAGUUUGUAAAAGACUAAUAUUAAUAUAUAUUACUAAACUUCUUGUUUGAGAUACAAUCAAAUGUUAGAUAGUUCAGAAAUGGUCACUUAGCCUUACAGAAAUAAUUACAAAUUACAUAAUUCAACUCCAGCACGAUGUGCUUUCAAUUGGUUAAUAAAUUAACAAACAACUUACAAUAGUAUGAUUCGUCAAUUAAAGAGAAAACUUUUGAUAUAGUUGUUUGUAAAUUGUUAUUUUCUAACACUUAUAGUUUUCACACCCCCAUGAAAUGCAAAGGGCACUAUUAUUAUCAACCGGGAAUAGAGUAAUUAAAAGAACAGAACUUGAAGAAAAAAAUAGGCUGUAAUUAUGAAGACCUUGCAAAAGUUUAGACAUAACUAUUUUUUCCUGAUGAAAGGUUACGUACCCUCAAAAUUCAGUAAAAAUUGCACGGGCACCCAUUUUUAACUUGUAAUUGCUUUAUUUUCUUGUCUGUAUCUGUUAAAAAUUACACGGGGGCCCAUUUUUAACUUGUAAUUGCUUUAUCUUUUUGUUUGUACCUGUACCCACUUUUUAAAAAACUUCAGCUUUCCUUUCUCCUUCCCUUCUCCUCCAAAAAUUUUCAGCUCUAGAGCUGAAGUUCUCCAGUUACAACACAAAAACUCAGCUCUAGUUUCAAUCUCUGCAAUAUAAUGUAUGUCAUGUAUUCUUCUUCUUCUUCUUCUUCUUCUUCUUCUUCUUCUUCUUCUUCUUCUUCUUCUUCUUCUUCUUCUUCUUCUUCUUCUUCUUCUUCUUGUUUCAAUCUGAAAUUCAGUCAGAACCAAGUCUAAUCUUCACCAAAAUCCCUCAAAAUUGAGAUAUAAACUCCAAAUCAAAUUCCCGAUUAUUUUCAACGGCACUAAUCCAAACAAAUAAUAAUUUUUGAAAACCCAAAUUUGAAUUCAAAACUAUCAAGUUUUUUAAUGGUUGUCAAUGGUGAUUGCUGCUCUCUUUUCAUUUGCUUUGUAUUACUGAAAUUUGGGAUUAAGAGAUAGAGAGAUGUAGAGAGAAUUCUAAAAACAGAGUGUAUCACAAAAACAGAGUAUGGAAAAUCUUGUUCUGUGUUGUGGAAGAUCAGAGUGAAGCUGUAAUUAUGGAAUGUGCGUGAUCUGCUUUGUGGAAGAUCUUGAAGAAUAUUUAAUUCCCCAAUUUUAGCGCGCCUAAAUAAGGAAUCCUACAGCUACAAUGAUUACUUAUUUAAUGCAUUGUCUAUAUUUUGUAGGAAUAUUAUUAGCAUGAAGGGUCGCAAACUAUGAACAUAUUUGGUAAUAUAGUUUCCUAUAUGGUAUAGGAACGAAAAUUUUCAAAUUGAAAAGUAGUCACAGUUAUAAAAAUAAUCCAAAUUUAGCUACUUUUCAUGUAAAGAUAAAUUUGAACGAAAAUACUAAUCAGAAUACAGAAAAUAUUCUAGCAUAAUAUACUGGUCCAACAUAAUAUGCUAAGAUGUUCAUACACAUGAGCUCUAAUUUCUAGUAUAUUAUGCUGGAACUUUCCGUGUGGUGGAGUUCCAACAGAAUAUGCUGGAAGUUUAUACACAAGUCACCUACUUCUGCAAUACACUACUGCAAGUCACUAGUUCCCGUAAAAUAUUACAAGCGUAAGUUCCCUGAAAUACUACAAGUCACCUGCUUCAGUAAAAUACUACAAGGCGCCAGCUCCCGCAAAAUACUAUAAGUUGCCAGCUCCUACUAAAUAUUACAAGCCGCCAGUUCCCACAAUAUACUACAUACCGCCAGCUCCCGCUAAAUACUACAAAUCACCAGCUCCUUCAGAGAACAACUACAAGUUGCCAGUUCCCGCUAAAUACUACAAGUCGCCAACUACUGCAAAACACUACAAGUCGCCAGUUCCUUCAAAGAGCUACUACAAGUCGCCAGCUCCCGCAAAAUACUACAGGGCGCUGGCUCCCCCAAAAUACUAUAAGUCGCGGUUCCCGCAAAAUACUACAAGUUCCCAGCUUCCGCUAAAUACUACAAGUCACCAGCUCCUUCAAAUAAGUACUACAAGUCGUCAGUUCCCGCAAAAUACUACAAGUCACCAGCUCCAUCAAAAAACUACUACAAGUCACCAUUACCUACAAAGUAUUACAAGUUACCAUCCCCAGUAAAAUAUUGCAAAUCGCCUACUCCCUCUAAAUAUUACAAGUCACCACAUCCACCAAAAUAUAACAAGUCUCCAGUUUACUACAAGUCUUCACCAUCACUAGCUUAUUAUAAAAAAUCACCUUCGUAUUACAAGUCACCUCCAUAUCCUCAAAAAUACAAUGAGCAGUCACCUUAUUACAAGUCACUUCCACCCCCACCAAAAUACUAUGAGCAAUCGCCAUCUUCUUACAAAUCUCCACCUCCACCAUACAAUAAAGAAUCUACACCUUCCUAUAAAUCUCCUCCACCUCCACCAAAAUACUACGAGUAAUCGCCGAUAACUUAAAAUUUGCCUAUGAAAAAUCAGCAUCUUAUUGUUCACCCCUGCCACCCGCAAACUAUUACAAGCAAACUUCUACCUGUGCCUCACCUCUACCACUUGAGGAGUAAGAGCAAUCCGUCAUCUAUGCUUCAACUUCACCCCCAUCAGCAUCUCCUUCACCAACCUACUAUUGAUAUUAAUUAUUCAGUCAGUUUCUGCCAUUUCCAUGACUUCUAAUUCCUUUUUGUCCUCUUAUUUUUAGCAACUCCAUUUCCUCUGCCAAAAUUUGAUGUAUGCUUCCCGAAAUGAUCCGGCUUACUUAUUAUAUAUUUAAUGUUCUUUUUUGUUAAUAAUUUGUAUUAUUUAUUGUUUGAUUUAAGUAAGAUCCUUGAGAUCUCCAUCCAUUGUUCUCAUUAUAUUGAGAUUUUUUGCAUUCUACUUUUCUUAGUUCUGUUGUCGUUUGGUCUAAUAUUGCAUAUUUAAUCGACUAUAUUCUUUUAUUGGUCGAUAAGGAUAUCUCCCGAACAUUUAUUCAAACAUAGUUAAAAUGAAGUAGAUGGUAUCUUGAGAACGUUUUGCCGAGAAUGGUUUAUAACUUUAUACGGAUAAAAUCAGGUGUUGCCGAUUUUGUAGCUUCGAGGGCUCGGGUCGAGAACAAGUUCAAUGUGGACCGGGAUCGAGCCUAAUGGCAGAAUACAAUACUCGAAGAGUGAAGUGCUCGAUGAACGCAAAAUCAGGUAUCGCCGAUUUUGUAGCUUCGAGGGCUUGGGUCGAGAACAAGUUCAUUGUGGACAGGGAUCGAUCCUGAUGGCAGAAUACAAGAUUCGAAGAUCGAAGUGCUCGAUGAACAUCGAUACCAAAUAUGACCAACCUAGAUAUAAUACCGCUAUGGUUUUAUAACAGAAAGAGCGAGAUUCCCGCAGUUGCCCUAAGAUCACGGCGUAAUUUUCAGAACGGAUUUGUACUGGGCGGUUAGACAAGUGUAUAAAAAGAUUCUCUACUAUAAUUAGAAAUGUAUCUUAUUUAGCAUUCCCCCACUAUAUAACGGGGAUCCUAAUCAUUUGUAAUGGAGGAAUCAUUGACAAGAUAAUAUGCCUACAUUACUUUUUUGCUUAGUGCUCAUUUGAAUCUCAUUGUUGUUAUCCACCUAUUUCGAGGUUGGAAUUGUUCGAGGUCGAGGUGUGCUUAUACGUUGGUUUGACUUCCUUACUCUUUAAUUUAUACAUUAGUGUCAUUUCUUAUCAAUUAGUAUUAGAUUAAAUCACAUAUCUUUAAAACCUCAAUACAAGUUUAAUUGUUACUUAAAUUUUAACGUAAAUAAUUUGGUGCCCACCGUGGGGCUAAUGAUAAUAGUGAUUGUUUUAGUACUGAUUCUGAUAACACACAUUAUUUUCACACUUGUUCUUGUCAAGAGUUUUUGUUCUCAGGUUGAAUCAUGUUAAACUCACAAAAGGCCCCGGCACAUGGCGAUGAUGGUCUUGGACUUCACGGAAAAAAUGAUAAUGUAGUUUCUCCAGGAGCCGGUGUGCCACCAAUUAACCCCGGGGAAGUGCCGAUUGCAGAACCAGUCGAUGUUCUUUCACACAUUGCUUUGAAUAAAGAGUUAGGCGUGGACCCCGGAGGAAGUGUACGUAGGGAAGUCCGAUCUGGGGGGCCAAGGAAAACAAGGCGUAGGAGAUGGGGAAGUUAGUCUCCAUGAUAUACUCCAAAUGCUACAAGCUCAGCAGGUUGCUAUCGCUCAGCUUCGAAGUCAACAUAAAACACUGAGUGUGGUCUAACUAGAAAGCACCAGUCGUACUGAGCUUGUGCCAGAACGGUCGAACGGCAACAGACUGAGGACUGAUUCUGCAAUUAUGAAGAUGCUCGAGGAUCUCACUAAGAGGAUAUAGGAUCGCUGCCAACUCGGCACUACACCAAGGUAAGAAGAGCGGGUCGCAAUAGCUUUUACCCGAUAUUAGGGUCGGAUCGAAUUCCUCAGGGAUCUCCUAAGGGAGUUGAAAUAUCUAUCUAACUUAGGCUUGUAUUAUGGUUCUUGAAAGAAGCAGGUCAAAGGCUCAAAAUGGUUGACUAGGGAUCUUUUCUUGAGGUACCCUUGAAAGAAGCAAGGCAAAUGUGCUAGGCCCAAGUGAAGCUUUUCUUGAGGUACCCUUAACUAUAAACUAACAAAAACAAUUUUUUUGCUUCGUAGAUAGGCUCGUAGCCUAAUGUUUCGUUUUUAGCGCUUUCAAUAAGCCUUUGAUUUUCUUAAUGUCACGGUGCCAAGCAAGGGUAUCUUUGAAAACAGUUAUAGGCUUGUAUUAUGGUUCUUGACAGAAGCGGAUCAAAGGCUCAAAAGGAUUGACUAGGGAUCUUAUCAUUGGUAGAAUAUGAAAUUAUUCAAACUAUAAUUUGGAUUAAGGAGAGCCUAUAAUCACUUCUCAAGUCAAUGGCCGCUUAGGAUUUUGCCUUAACAGACAUUCAAGGCAAGUUCUAGACCAUUGGCUCGGGACUUGGACUCGCAAUUUGAUUUCUCACCACACACGCUAGGGGAUUGCUAAAGACAUCGACUCGAGGGGUCCACAACUACCUUAGUUAUGAUUCAAGCACAUAAUAAUCUGAAAAACUAUUUUGAUGAUUGUCAGUCAACACGAGAGUCUCAAGGUUACGACUUUCACCAUCCUAAACACAACAUUUUGUAUUUAACCAUGAGAUCAGAGGCAAAUGUGCUAGGCCCAAGUGAAGCUUUUCUUGCGGUACCCUUAACUAUAAACUAACAAAGUCAAAAGAAAAAUAAAGACGGACUCAAACCCUUAAGAAGGUUGUUACGCCAUCCAUCAUGGGGAAGAGACACCCGGUUAAAACAAUACUCCACCUUUGGAAAGAACCGUGAAAUUAAGAAAACCAAAGGUUUAUUGAAAGCGCCAAAAAUGAAACAAAAGACUAGAGCCUAUCUACGAAAAUAGAAAAUAGAAUGAAUAUUUACUAUAGAGGAUCAUAAUAUACAACGGGGUAUGAAUAUAUACAAUAAUGUAACUUUAUAUACAGACCAAAUAGAAAAUCAUAAGAAAGAAUAAACUACAUCAAUCUAUAUAUACAAUCAUCCAAUGGAUAAAAUGGAGGGCGCACCCCCUCAAAUAAAAGCUGGCAUUGUCCCCAAUGCGAACUAAACAGAUAAGCACCAAAAAAAUAUAAGGAAAGGAUAUGGGAACUCCCUAAGACUUGUCCAUCUUCAUGGGAACAUGAGUGGUACCCGGGUCCUCUGUAUGUACGGGAACUUCACACUGGUUCCCGAUCUCCUGCUGCUUUGCUGCUGGGACUGCGGGCUGGACCUAGAUGGAUUGAAUAUAAGGAGUAUCCUGUUGACUCAAGGAUGCCUCCAGUAGGUCUGCCAACUGGAUGAUCGCCUUGUCUGCACUAGGGAGCUUCCUCUUCUUCCUAUGAAGCAUAUGUGUCUGCUCCUGUUGUGGCUCUGCUAUUGGUGUUUCUGCUGGGGCUGGAUCCGCAAAUAGCAAGUCUAAAGGUAUCUGGUGUGCCAUCAGCUUGUCCAUAUCCUCUCUAAGCCUCUUCACAAACGCUUUGGAAGCCCGUGUUUUUAUCAUUUUCUUGUGCUCCCGGGAAAGCUUCUUCAGAGCCUUGCCAUGUGAAUCCAUUACCUUAGACAAGGCAGUCUGGGUACCCAUGAUCUUUUCCUGGUUCUCCAAGAUCUUAUUCAGCGUAUUCUUUAUGGACUGUGCAAGCUGAGCUGUUUGUAGUGCUGCUGAGCCUCAAUAGUGGAAGACAUGGUAGAUCACUUGGAUGAUGCAGCUGACAUUCAGUUGUUCAAGUAAUGCAAUGUUUGGCUCAGCUGUUGGGCAGUGAUAGGAUAGGUCUGGGAAGAUGGGAUCCCUGGGCCAGCUGAAAUAGAGGGACCAGCAGUAGUGGAAGGUCCUGGAGGCAUGUUAGUGGUAGUAGCAGCAGGCUGAGUGGAAGGCUCUACCGCAACCAGCUCCUCAGACUGGCGAGUUGGGGCAGAGGCAUAAGGAUUAUAAUUCUUGUCUUUUAGGUUGUCUCGCCCCUUUAAGAUGUACCACGAGAACGGAGCUACUGGUUUGACCUUGACAUCAAAGGGAUUCUUCUCCAUGUUCAAGUCCCGGAAGUACAUGGUGAGAAUGUUGGGAAAAGGGUAGUUCUGGUCAUGCUCAACCCCCACCGUAGAAAUCAUACGAGACAUCACAUUGCCCAUGUUGAUAGGGUAGCCCGCCAUAAUAGAAGCAAUAAGAACAGCCCGAGCAAGUGGAAUGGUUUGAUUAUGUGAAGUGGGGUCAAGUCGACUGCAUACAAAGUUCAACCACGCCUAGCUUCAAAAUUUAGAGUCCUCCGAAGUAUUUUGGUCCCUACUUGUAACCAUUCUGGAACACUACCUGGGAUUACCAGGUACGCAGUUAACCACGGAUGGACCUCCUCUCCCAUUGCCAACUUCUCAUUGGUCAGGGUCUCAUGUUCAUCAUUGAACCCUAAGUACUCUUUUAGUGCCUUCCCAGAAAACACCACAUUCUUGUUCCGUACUUUAGUCACUUUUGUGCCCUUUGCGAUGUGGGCCACAUUGUUAUUGAACUCCUUGACCAUGUUCUCAUUUGCCUUUAUAAAAUCAUCCCUAAAAUGGUCCCAACCUACUCAAGCUUGAAAAUGUAUAUGCACAUUUGGUUUAGGGGUAACAAGUCUCAGUUAAUAAAACUUCUUUCUAGAAUCAACUUCCGUAAUGGCCACCAUACCCUGAAUUUAUGAAAAGCCACCUGACUAACAAAUCUGUCCUCCCAGACUGUGGGGUUUCUUGUUUGGUCAACACCCCAAACCUGAGGCACACCACUUUGUGGCACAUCCUCAUUACUAUCAUUAUCACCCUCAUCGCCUCCGCCUGCACUCCCCUCGGAUAUUGAAGCUGAGGGGGAGGUGGAGGACUCACCGCUGCUGAUCCCUCAGUCAACUCAGAAUAUAUACGCUGUGGAGCUUGGGCAGUGGGUGAAGCUGGAACUGAGUGAGCUGGCACCGAGUCAGAGGAGAGGUCUUGAGAAGUUAUGUACUCACUCCCCGAUUGGUCACUGGCUGUAUCAGCAACCUUGGUUGCUUUCCUUGUGUUUUGUCUAGGUUGAGGAGUGAGUUUUACUUAUUUUCCUUUGCCUCUUUGGGAGGAGUCACCUCGGCCGGGUUGUUUAUCACCUCUACCUCUUUGUUUGACCAAUGUAUGCAAGCACACACAUCUAACAUUGUUAGUUUAAGUACAUGUAGUGAAGCAUAUGAUGAAAAUGAAUUAUAGAACAAUAGAGCAAAAGUUGCAGAGCAAUGUUACAGAACAACACACUACGGCUUGCACAAAAAAGGAAUGCGGCCGCAUUGGGUGCAACGCGGACCACGUAAAGGCGACUCCGAUCCUCAUUGGGGAAGGCAACUCCAACGCGGUCCGCACAAAAUGGUAUUGCAGUCGCGGUGGGCCAGCGUGGACCGCACAAAGUGCAAUGCGGCCGCGCUUGGUACAAAUCAAUUUGAAACACUUGAACACCGUGGGCCGCAAAGAAUGGUAUCGUGGAAAGUAUCAUAGCACCGCAGACCACACCAAAGUGACCGCGGUCCGCGAAGGGUUCUCAGUUCGGGCACUAAGCUAGGGUUUCAGUUUUUGCAAUUUGUUCAAAUUUUCUACUUAUCUUGUUCCUACUCAAUUUACCCAGUUCAACAAGGUCACAAAACACACAAAAUUCAACCAUUACACUAUCCUAAGCUAAUAAAUAAAAUAAAAACGGGAAGAAAAAGAAGUUACAAGCUACUGGUAAUGAAAUAAAAAAAAUUAAUCAUGUAAAUGAACAAGGAAUGAGUGAAAUAUUAGCAGAUAUAAAGAUAAAAUGCAAUUAGUCAAUCUUAAGCAAGAAUUAUGGUCAAGGGGAGUAUGAACAAUACUUUUUAGGUCUCAUAGUGUUAAAAGUUUGAAAAGGGUAAAUGGUGACACCCGCUCCUUCAAAGCACUACUAUAAGUCACCAGCUCCUGCGAAAUACAACAAGUCGCCCGUUACCGCGAAAUACAAGUCGCCCGCUCUUGAAAAAUACAACAAGUCACCCGCUCCAGCGAAGUACUAAAAGUCGCCCGUGUGACGACCCAACCCUUCGUCUUUCUUAUUUCAGCCCCGUUAUCCUAGUAUUACGCUUCCCCGUGUGUUGACAUGUGUUUGGUGAGUUGGAAGUGUGUUGGGUUGAAUUUGGUUAGAAAUGAGACCAAUAGUUCUUUAAGGAAAGCUUAAGUUGGCAAAGCCAAUCGGAUGUUGACUUAUGAGUUAGAGAGCUCAGAAUGGAUUUUUGACUAUUUGACUAGUUUUGGAUGGUGAUUUGUGACUUGGGAGAGAAUGCGAACUUGAAUUUGGAGGCCCGGUGUAGAAUUUGGCUUGAAUUGGCUAAGUUGAAUUUCGACGAAUUCCGGUUGAUAGGUGAUAUUUUGAUCCGGGGGUUGGAGUUGAAUUCCGAGAGUUGCAGUAGCCUUGUUAAUUGAUUCUGGUUAUGUCUGCAAAUUUUCAGGUCAUUUGGGCUUUGUUUGGUUGGUUUCGGCAUCGAAUGAGAUUUUUAGAGGUUCAUGUUUAUCUUAGGAUUUGAUUUGAUGAUUUUGGUGAUUUUUGGUGUUUAAGCUAGUUUUUUUAUGGCUUGAGCAAGUUUGAAUGAGGUAUUUGGUCAUAAUUGUGUUUUGGUUUGGACUCCGGGGCCUCGGGGUGAUAUCAGAUGGUUAAACGAGGAUCUUUUGGAGUUAAGCUUGAAAAAUGGUUGUUGCUUCUGGUAUUUUCGCGGAAGAGGCAGGGAGAUCGCUUAUGCGAUGCCGCAGAAGGGGACAAUAAGCCGCAGAAGCGGCCAAGGGAACGCUUACACAGGAGUUUCGGACGCGGUAGAUCGACCACAGAAGCGGCCGCUGAAGAAAUGGGCAAACCGCGGAAGCAAUCAACUGGACACGGAAGCGAGGACCGCUGAAGCGGAAAAAUACUGCGGAAGCGGAAAUUGUCCAGUUUUAAUGAAAUCAGAGGGUAUAAUAUUUUGAAAAGGAGAAGAACAAUUGAACAUCGGGCUGAGGCGAUUAAGAGAGGUUUAGAGAGAUUUUCGAGGUGAUUCUUCAGGUAUGAUCUCUUAGACCUCGAAUAUGUGAUUAUUGUGCCAAAUCAUGGAUUAAACACUUAGAAAUCAAGGUCUUUAAUGUAAAAAAUGGUGGUUAGGGCUUGAAACCCAAGUGAACCUUAAAGUGUUGAUUUGAUGGGGUCAAAUAGACUCCGAUACUUGUAAAUUGUAUAUGUGUGGACUCGUGGCAAGACGAAGAUUCUAAAAAUGUGAAUAUCAUAAUUUUUUGAGAAGUGAGUCCCGGUCUCGUGUUUUGCCAACUUCGUAUAUUUUGGUGUAUUUCAAGAUUUUUCGAUUGGGUUAUGUUCCAUUAGCCUAUUUUGACGUAUUCCUAUUGGUGUUGAGCAGAUUUGGCAUCCGUAGUGGUUGAUUCUCGAGGGAAAGGCAUUACGAGCUAGUUUGCGGCCGGUUUGAUGUGAGUAAUGGGUGUAGAUGAUGACCCGAGGGUUUGAAACCCCGGUAUAUCAUUUUGUGACGCUGUAUUGAGGUGAGAUACGUACUCUACUGCGAGUGCGGGGUGGAUUAUGAUUGGGGACUAUGUUUUAGUCCGACCAAGUGUCAUUAUACGGUGUUGUUGGCUAUAGAUUGGCCGAUAAACCUCCUACUUGGAUGGUUAUGAAUAUAUUUGGCAGCGCGCCAGUUAUUUGGAUCCCGUGAGGAUCGUUAUCACUAUUUCUAUGCAUUAUAGCAUGUUUUCAUGACAUCAGUCCUGCACUAAAACACUGUUCAACAUGAUUUGGUUAAUAUUGAGGUUUGACACCUAAUCCUAUGAUUUCUAAUAAACUGAACUAGAAAUGGCAAGAUAUAUGUGCCUGUGAGGCUUUCAUGCAUGUAGCUGGACCUAUAGUGGAUUGGGCUAUGCGCCACAACGUAUGUUACUAUGAUAUUGCACUUGGGCUGUAGGAGCCCCUCCGGAGUCUAAACCCCCACAGUGAGCGUGGGUACCCAAAUGGAUCGGACUGGACGUUCCCAACGGUCAUGCAUUGCAUUGCAUCUCAUGCAUUUAUUUACUGUUGCUUUAUUUGGAUAUAUCUGAGACUUGUUCUAUAUAGAAUUGUUUAACUAGAUUUACUCUGUGCUUCAUUGUGGAUUUCCUGCUUUCGGAUUUUUAUAUAUGCUUGUUACUUGCUGAGUUGGUAGACUCACCCCAUACUCCCUGCUCCUUGUGUGAAGAUUCAGGUGCUCCAGAGACUUAGUGCUGCUGAUGUUGAUUUCUUGAGCUAUUAAGGGUAUUGAGGUAGCUGCCCAGCGUCCGCAGGACCACUUACUCUAUCUCUAUCAGUCAUGUUCUUUUGCUAUUUUAUCAGACUCUGUAUCAUUUCCGUUCAGACUUGUAUUCUGUUUUGUUAGAGGCUCUAGACUCGUGACUCCUCGGUUUUUUGGAGGAUUAUUAUUCACUGGUGUUUUGUUGGGUAUGAACUCUGUUUUGUUAGAGGCUCUGGACUCGUGACUCCUCGGGUUUUUGGGAGGAUUAUUAUUCAGCUGUUUUUUCUUGGGUAUGAAUUACCCCUUGGUUUGGGAGUUUGUUAUUGAAUUUCACUGGUUAUUCCUAAACUAUUUCUCUUUGGGCUGGGAUGCCGUUCUUAAUUGUGGUUUGGCCGGGCUUGCUUAGCCUUGCGGCCGGGCGCCAUCACGAUCGGGUUUGGGUCGUGACAAAUUGGUAUCAAAGCCUAGGUUACUAGGCCCAACGAGUCAUGAGCCGGCUUAGUAGUGUCUUGGUUAUGGGUGUGUCGUGCACCACACUUAUAAGCAGGAGGCUACAGAACCUUUAGGAAACACUCCACUUUUUUGAAAUCUUAUCGUGCGUUCUUGAUUCAGUUUGAAGGGGUAACCCUUGAAGUUCCUUCCUCACGUUUGUAUGCGUCCAUGAGCGUCCAAUAUUAUAUGUGCCUUGAUGGCUGGUGAUUCCCCUAUCUAUGGGCGAAUUAUGAUUCCUAUGAAUUGAUGUUGGGCCAGUCUAGAGGACUUGAGGCCGAAUCUCUGUGUAUGGCUUGAGCACCAAGGUGUGGACUGAGCGAGCUAAUGUUAUGAGCUUAUAAGUUCAGUAUUGUCCCUAAUUGUGGUGAGCGGCUGGAUAGCUACGUGGUGUGUAUGUUGGUGCCAUGUAAUGUGUCCAUAUGACUUGGAAGUGUUGAAGAAGGUCUGCUAGGUGGUAGACGAACCAUUAAAUNNNNNNNNNNNNNNNNNNNNNNNNNNNNNNNNNNNNNNNNNNNNNNNNNNNNNNNNNNNNNNGCUGGAUAGAUACGUGGUGUGUAUGUUGGUGCCGUGUAAUGUGUCCAUAUGACUUGGAAGUGUUGAAGAAGGUCUUCUAGGUGGUAGACGAACCACUAAAUGUUUGAUUCUCAUUGUGAAAUAGAGAUGUGGCCUGAGUUAUGGGUGCAUGAAGAAUCUUUUCGAGUCUCCUAACUGGGAGUGUGUGUGUUGUUGUAUGAGUCCAGACUCAGGAAGACCAAUUGAUUGCGUGAAGAGUAUGACUGUGGAUAAUGUACCGAAAUAUUAUAUUGAAGCAAGCAGGUGGGUAUCUCGCGCAGAUUAUUCCGAAGUGGUAUGAUCAUUAUGUGUAUGUUAGAAGACCGUAUGUGUAAUUAAGAUGCAUUUUUCUAUAUGUUAUGAUUCGAACAGGUGCAUCGCAAGUUCAGGUAUCAAUUUUGAUGAUGUAAUACAUGUAGUAUCGAGAUAAAGGUUGUUGUUAUACAUUGUGAUGCUACGUCGAGUUUUGGACGUGUUGUUAGGAUGGUUUUGGCAAUUCUCUGACAGGUGGAUAUGCUCAAUUACAAAGGAAACUCUGCUAAAAUUUUUGGAAAUUUGGGACUUAGUAGAAAUUUUGGCGCCUUAAGGGUGGGCUUAACGACUGUGUGAAUGAAUGCAAGAAUUGGGGGAAAGUUUGAAUUUCUGAUGAUUCGUGUCUCCACAAGCUUGUGAACGAGUGAGUUUAAUAUCGCCCUGAUAUUACGAUAGCAAUAGAGCAUAUGUAUUGUGAUGUAAAUGGCUUCGAGCUAAGUUGUUGAGGUUGCUGUGGAUACGCUGGUCGUAUUUUUAUGUACUAUGUUAAUUCUGAUUCGAUGCAUGUGAGUGAAUCAGUUCUGGUUGCAGAAAGGAAGCCGAGGGUGGUGCGAGUGAAGUGAAAUUUUGCCAAUGGUUAUAUGGUGCUUUGCAGAUGUGGGAAAAUAAGGGAAUGUCUCGAGCUGUUGAUAAAGAAUGCUUGGCGUAAGGAAAAAAAAUUGUUUGGCUGUAUUAGAAUAAGAUCUCGUCCCGUGGUGUCAGAGUGCUGAUAAGGCAUAAGUGGUUCGACUCAUUAAGUCAAGUGAAUUGCAGCGUAUCGGAAUAAGAUCUCGUCCCGUGGUGUCAUAGUGUUGAUAAGGCACAAGUGGUUUGACUCAUUAAGUCAAGUGAAUUGCAGUGUGUAUAAGAGUGGUAUACUUUUGAGAAUAGUUAUUGAUGUUAUCGAAAUUCGAUUGGUAUCACUCUGGUGUUUUGAGGCUGAGUAUGUGACCAAGUCUUUAUUUUCAUUAGCAUAGGUCAAGACUAGUGGUAUUUCUACGUUGAUUACGGGAUUCUAGGUAUCAGUAUUUGGAAAGUAAGGGUAACCGAUUCAGAGUCGCAUAAAGUUCUUCGGGUAAAGUAUUUUGUAAUGUUGUAAUUCAGAGCACAUUUGAGAAAGUAUUCAGUGGCCUAUGGGUCUUAGACGGUGUGGUCUGGUGUUGGGUCUCGUAUAGAAGAGUUCUUUGAUUAAAGUAUUUUGUAAUGUGGUAAUUCGAGCACGUUUGAGAAAGCAUUCAGUGGCCUAUGGGUCCUAGACGGUGUGGUAUGGUGUUGGGUCUCGUAUAGUAAUACUGGGUUGAGACAUUCUGGUGCUGCAACAAGAGAGUAAAUCUAGUUGAAAAAUGAAUCAGGUGGGAAUCGAGACAAUAGAGUAACUUAUUAGGGGACCAAAUCGGUAUGGUAAAUAUAUGAUCAAUCAUGGUAUGUGUUGAGGUAAUGGGUUCUUACCAGCAUUGGGCAGCGAAGCUCCUGGGUACAGAAAGUCUGCUUUGCUUGGAUCAGGUAGAAAGAUUCCGUCCUUGAUAGUUUAACUUGUGCAGAUGGAAUUGGGAGAGAAUUCUUGUUGAGUUUCAUCGUGGUUUGGAGAUGUAUAUUUGCUAUGGGCAUGCGGAACAUGGAGUUUAUAAUAAAUUUUUCUUCUAAAGGGAAUCAAUGAAAGUCCUAGACUAGUUGGGCGUGUCGAUGUCUACGGCGUAGAAAGGUGAUGGAAGUUCUCGUGUUAUCCCUGGAGAAUAUUGGGUAUGCGGUAUGAUGAAAAGGACCGAAAUGGGCGUGUGCGAGUUUUCGACUUAGUUCUGAAAGGUAUGGUGAAUUUGGCAAUGUCUUAGGUAAUGAGUAGCUUCAGGUUAUCAAGGAACUGGUACUGUUAAGUUGAAGUGAUUUGACGAUAGCAUAAGUUUUGGAAUAAGGGUAAAAUCACAAAUGAUACAUCAAUAGUGCUACGGCAAUUCCUUAUGGGAUUGACUGUGGAUAUGAGUUGUUUGAUGGCGCACGGGAGUAUUAAAAUAUCCCUCGUGGAAUAGUUGGGGUACUUGAGGUGUAAUCUGUAUUUCGCAUUAUGGAAAUUUGGAUCAAGCACGUUGAUUCAGGUGCUAUGAGUAGUUGGAGACUGGAGUUCUCCGAUAAAGUUUAUGCGGUAAUUGAGGAUCGUGUGUGUUGUGUUGGUACUGUCAGCGGCAAUUGGGAAUUCGGAAGCCGAGUGGAUCUUUCCUUGCUUAGUAUAUUAAAUUCUGGAUAUGUAUGGGGAUGUAGAGUGAUUGUAUCGAUGUCGGAUUAUGUUAAACGAUUGUGCUAUGAGUCAUGUUGGGAAAUGCCAUAGGUUGAGUGGUGGGAUGUAUCGGACUAUGCUCUAUUCAGAUUAUUCUAAACGAUUGUGCCAUGAGUGAUGUUGGUAAAUGCCACAAGUUGCGUGGCGGGGGUGUAUCAGACUAUGGUCCAGCUGGAUGGUUGUGUUGCAGAGACUAGCGGCAUCUGGGAAGAAUUGCGUUCCUUAAUUGGGCCUUCGAGAUGAGUUUCAGAAUAGAGGUUUCUACCAUUGAUUUCGGUUCCUAUAUUAAGGGACUUUUCAGAUGCGUCCUCGUAGUCGGGCAUGUCGCCGGGCGAGACUGUGGAUUUCAGUAAUUAUCUGGUGCUGGGCACCAUGUCGUGCGGCUUCGUCAUGAGUCAUAGUAGUGGGAGUGGAAUUUUGUAGCUUACAACGCUAAUAAGAUAUCUUUAUGCACUCAACUGCUUCGAUCGAUGUUGGUAUUUUGUUGAUAUGAGCAAAUUUGGCUCGAUGUGCACCUCCCUAUGUGAGAUAUUGUGUGGAUCGGGUGGCACGCCACCACAAGUAUGUUAUCUUGAUCGGGUUGCGCGCCGCAACAGCGUGAGGUUGAGAAUAGCUUUCCAUGUGUUGCUUUGUAUUCUUUGCUUCCUGGCUUCUGAGGGAAAUCCGCAUUGAGAAUUGCUUGGCAGAUAGUGUAUCGGUUGUGUCCUUUCAGGACUGAAUGGGGUAUAUUACUUGUUUCACCGUGAGUGUGAGGGGUAAUUUGGUUUCAGGCAUAGAUCUAUGAAGAUCUUUAUCAUUUCUGUUCAGCUUUCAGGACUGAAUGGGGUAUAUUACUUGUUUCACCGUGAGUGUGAGGGGUAAUUUGGUUUCAGGAAUAGAUCUGUGCAUGGCUGUCUACUGUGAGCAUGCUAACACGAGGUGUUUCAUGUGUAACGAUGUUGGGAUAUGAUCGCAUGUUGUGGCGAGGCCACGUGAAGUUAUUACCUCUCGAGGGGGAUUCGGGUACUCUAUUCUUAUGAUGUGAGACGGGGUCUUAAUUUGGUUUUGUGAAGGUAUUGAUGAGCGUGAAGUAUAACUCUUCUGGUUGAGUCAUUUGCCUGAUUUUGGUAUGUAUAGAUUGUUCCUUAUUAGCGUGUGUAUUAUGCAAUUGUGACUUAGGCCUGUAUUGAGGCACCAUAUCACCCGAAGUGGUGUGAUAGAUUCAAGGUGAUCGUUGGGUUACUAAUAAGCAUGAGCAGAUUUGAUUUCAGCUGGUUAGAGUGGUAACAUCGAGGUUUGGCCCAAAAAAAUCAUUUGUGGUAAUAGUCAACUUGGAAGUGACUUCAUGAAUGGUUGAUCUGAAGAACUGCUACGGUUUUCUGCUUGUUUUAGUGAUCGUUGGCAAUAUGCGAAAGUGUUGGAAUAAAACUUUCGCUACAUAAGAGGUUUCCUAUUGGUAAUUGAGUACUGUGGGUAACUGCAGUGAAUAGAGACUAUUGUUCCGAGUGUUGGAAUGUGGUGUAUAUUUUAUGAGUUCACCUGAGGUUGCAGGUGUGGGUUAUUACAACUGGUUCGGAUUGAUUUUGAGUAUAGAUGCGAGGUUCUGAUCUUGUGUGUUUUUUCGGGUAGUGCAGUGUUGUUCCACGGUUUAUGGUCCAGAUGGAUUGUGAAAUUUCAGCUGUGUUGCGUUAUCGGUACCUAUGUGAGUUAAGGGUGAUGUGGGAUAUCCCUGAUCAUAUGACCGGUAAUGUCAUGUUGUUACUGGCUUGCUUCUAGUACAACUCUGGGUACGCUCGAGGACGAGCGUUUGCUUAAGUUUGGGUGGAUGUGACGACCCGACCCGUCGUCUUCCGUAUUCAACUCCGCUAUCCCCGUAUUAUGCUUCCCCGUGUGUUGAUAUAUGUGUUUGGUGAGUUGGAAGUAUGUUGGGUUUUAUUUGGUUAGAAAUGAGACCAAUAGUCUCUUUAAGGAAAGCUUAAGUUGGCAAAGCCAACCGGNNNNNNNNNNNNNNNNNNNNNNNNNNNNNNNNNNNNNNNNNNNNNNNNNNNNNNNNNNNNNNNNNNNNNNNNNNUUAAGGAAGGCUUAAGUUGGCAAAGCCAACCGGAUGUUGGCUUAUGAGUUUGAGGGCUCGGAAUGGAUUUCCGACUAUUCGACUAGUUUCAGAUGGUGAUUUGUGACUUUGGAGAGAAGGCGGAAUUGAAUUUGGAGGCCCGAUGUAGAAUUAGGCUUGAAUUGGCUAAGUUGAAUUUCGACGAAUUCCGGUUGAUAGGUGAUAUUUUGAUCCGGGGGUUGGAGUUGAAUUCCGAGAGUUGCAGUAGCCUUGUUAAUUGAUUCUGGUUAUGUCUGCAAAUUUUCAGGUCAUUUGGGCUUUGUUUGGUUGGUACUGAGGGUCGGAAUGGAAUUCCGAGAGUUGCACUAGCUUUGUUAGGUGAUUUUGUUUAUGCCUGCAAAUGUUCAAGUCAUUCGGGCUUCGUUUGGUUGGUGUCGUCAUCGAAUGAGAUUUUGAGAGGUUCAUGUUUAUCUUAGGCUUUGAUUUGAUGAUUUUGUGAUUUUUGGUUUUUAGGCUAGUGGUUUUAUGUCUCGAGCAAGAUUGAAUGAGGUAUUUUGUCAUAAUAUUGUUUUGGUUUGGACCCCGGGGGCCUCGGGGUGAUAUCGGAUGGUUAAACGAGGACUUUUUGGAGUUAAGCUUGAAAAAUGGUUGCUGCUUCUAGUAUUUUUGCGGAAAUGGCAGGGAGACCGCUUAAGCGGGUGUCCGAAGAAUUGGAAAAUAAGUUGUAGACGCGGCUAAAGGGGAAGCAAGAGACCGCAGAAGCGGUCAAUGGGACCGCUUACGGGGGAGUCGUGGAAGCGGUAGAUCGACUGCAGAAGCGGCCGCUGACGAAAUGGACAGACCGCGGAAGCAAUCAACUGGACGCGGAAACGAGGACCGCUGAAGCGGAAAAAUACCGCGGAAGCGAAAAUCGUCCAGUUUAAAUGAAAUCAGAGUGUUUAAUAUUUCUAAAAGGAGAAGAACAAUAGAACUUCGGGCUGAGGCGAUUGAGAGAGGUUUGGAGAGAUUUUCGNNNNNNNNGGGUUAAAUAUUAUCAAAAGGAGAAGAACAAUAGAACUUUGGGCGGAGGCGAUUGAGAGAUUUUCGAGGGGAGUCUUCAGGUAUGUUCUCUUAGACCUCGAAUAUGUGAUUAUGGUGCUAAAUCAUGGAUUAAAUACUUAGAAAUCAAGGUCUUUAAUGUCAAAAAUGGUGGUUAGGGAUUGAAACCAAAGUGAACCUUAAUGUUUUGAUUUGAGAGGGUCAAAUGGACUCCGAUUCUUGUAAAUUUGAUAUCUAUGGACUCGUGGCGAGACGAGGAUUCUGAAAAUGUGAAUUUCGUAAUUUUUUGAGAAGUGGGCUCUGGGAUCGGGUUUUCCAACUUCGUGUACUGGUUAUUCAAAUUUUUUUCCGGCAAAAUAUUCGUAGAACAAAACACAUAAAUUGUACUCAAAGUACUUCUUUAGUCCUAGUAAGAUACAACUAAAAAAAGUAUUUUUCAAGAAAAUAAUACAAAAUAUGAGAGAUGUCAUGUCAUUAUCCUAAUAUAUCCAACUAUAAAGACAAUAAAUUAUGUUAUAUAAAUAUUGUUAGUUAAAAAUCCAUAAUAACAAUAAAUAUAAUCUAAAAGUACUAAGUCAUGCUAAAAUAAGUAGACUAACAAGGGAAUAUUAAUUACAUAACUAAACGCUAAAGAUAAAAUAAAAAUAGGUUAUGUGUUUUUAUCUAAAUUAUUACAAAACAAAAAAUAGACAUUCAAUACAUUCCCGUUUGUAGUAUUAAAUUGAAUGUCUUUUGUUAGUAUUAAUAUUGAUUUGAUUUUGGUUUGGGCUUUUCUUCGCACUAUUUAAUUUACUAAUGUUAAUGGCUAUAAAACUUAUUUGAACAAAAGUUCUAAGUCCAAUCUUGAAAAAAUAAUUCAAAAGAUAAAAUUAUGAAUUUUUUUAAGGAAUAUUUCUAAAAUACAUCACAAUAAGUAUAUUUAUAUCUUAAAAUUAUGAAUUUUUUUAAGGAAUAUUUCUAAAAUACAUCAUAAUAAGUAUAUUUAUAUAUUAAAUAUACUUAAAUUUUCUAUAUAUGUAAUGUCGAGUUGGUUUGGUUUUGGUUUAACUUUCUUUGGUUAAAAUCAAACCAUACCAAUUAUGGUUGAUUUUUUUUCCCAACACCAAAUCAAAUCAAACCAAAUCAUAGACGGAUUUUUUUUCUCGGGUUGACUCAGAUUAUCGGGUUAGUGGGGUUUGUCAGUUUCCUUUAUACACCCCAAAUACAAUAGUAGAAAACCCUAAAAUCAGGGCAGUCCAACGGUAGGCGCAUGAGUAUUCGCGCCAUGUAUUCAUGGUUUCCUUUAUACACCCCUAAAUAAAAUAGUAGAAAACCCUAAAAUCAGGGCAGUCCAACGGUAGGUGCAUGAGUAUUACACAGAAAAUAAAAUUUAACCUAAAUUCGAAUUUGGGUCUUACACAGAAAAUCUUCCAAAUAGGCCUCCCAACAAUGUCAUAUAUGUUUAGUUUGCGAUUCCGGGUGGUAGGAUUAUAUAUUUAAUUUAGUUUGAAAAAACUUUCAGCAUAGGUAUGUAAAUUUUUUGUCAACCUAGCGGGUGCCACGCCUCCCUCACCAUAAGGGGUGGAUCCGCCAAUGGGUAUAUUUGGCACCUCCCAUAUAUAUUUAAUUUAGUUAAAAAAAAAUUUCAGCAUAGGUAAUUAAAUUUUUUGUCAACCUAAUGGGUGCCACGCCUCUCUCACAUAAGGGGUGGAUCCGCCAAUGGGUAUAUUUGGCACCUCCCAUCAAAAGAAAAGGACUCGAAGAAGAAAAUAUUGUGAAAACAAGAAAGAAACCUCCUCUCCACACCCAUAACAAAUAGUCAAUUCCUUAACUUCACCAAUUGUAUACCAGUCGUGGCAACCUUAUUUCAUUUUCAAUUUAAUAUUCUUUUUUUUUUCUAUCACCAGGAGAAUGCUUGCCACUAAGUAGUGACCAUGUCUUUAUUUGGACUUUGCUAUCAUCUUAGUGGUUAACCAUGAUGCAGUUAUAUAAAUGUUAAAGAAAGAUGUCUCCCUGCAGUAUAAAACUAGAGUUCCUUACUCAACUAUGCAACACAAGUCUUAGUUCUAUCCUUCUCUUGUCCCGAUAUAGCUGCAAAAUGAGAAGCUUUGGGAAUUUAGGGCAAUGGCCUCUUCUUGCUGCUGCUUUGGCAAUUUGCUUUGUAGCCAACAUUGUUUUUGCUGAUUACACUUAUGGGUAUAUUUCUACCUCAUCUUCUUACAUUUCUUACGUUUUACAAAUCACCAUCUUCACCCAAGUAUCAUGUACCUACUCCUUUCUACAAGUCACCUGCUUCAGCAAUACACUACUACAAGUCACUAGUUCCCGUAAAAUAUUACAAGCGCCAGUUCCCGUAAAAUACUAAAAGUCACCAGCUUCAGUAAAAUACUACAAGGUGCCAGCUCCUGCAAAAUAAUACAAGUCACCAGCUCCUACUAAAUACUACAAGUCGCCAGUUCCCACAAAAUACUACAUAUCGCCAGCUCCCGCUAAAUACUACAAAUCACUAGCUCCUUCAAAGGACUACUACAAGUUGCCAGCUCCCGCUAAAUACUACAAGUUGCCAACUACUCCAAAAUACUACAAGUCGCCAGCUCCUUCAAAGAGCUACUCACCGUACUAUAAAGCAUCUACACCUUCCUAUAAAUCUCCUCCACCCUCACCAAAAUACUACGAGCAAUCACCAUCUUCUUACAAAUCUCCACCUCCACCGUACUAUAAAGAAUCUACACCUUCCUAUAAAUCUCCUCCACCUCCACCAAAAUACUACGAGCAAUCGCCUAAUACUUACAAUUUGCCUAUGAAUAAUCACCCAAAUUAAAUCUCCUCCACCCUCACCAAAAUACUACGAGCAAUCACCAUCUUCUUACAAAUCUCCACCUCCACCGUACUAUAAAGAAUCUACACCUUCCUAUAAAUCUCCUCCACCGCCACCAAAAUACUACGAGCAAUCACCUAUUACUUACGACUUGCCAUCUUUGCCAAAGAUCUAUGAAAAAUCACCAUCUUAUUACUCACCUCCACCACCAGCGAACUAUUUCAAGCAAACUCCCACCUAUGCCUCACCUCCACCACCUGAAAGGUACGAGCAAUCUGCUACCUAUGCUUCACCUCCACCCCCAUCAGCAUCUCCUCCACCAACGUAUUACUGAUAUUAACUAUUCAAUCACUUUCCGCUGUUUCCAUGACUUCUAAUUCCUUUUUGUCCUCUUAUCAUUAGCAGCUCCAUUUCGUCCGCCAAAAUUUGAUGUAUGCUACUAUUUCCAUGACUUCUAAUUCCAUUUUGUCCUCUUAUCAUUAGCAGCUCCGUUUCCUCCGCCAAAAUUUGAUGUAUGCUUCUCGAAAUGAUUGGCUUUUGCUUAUUUGUCUUCAGUGUUCUAUUUUAAUAGUUUGUAUUAUGUAUUUAUUUGGGAUUUAUGAAAGAUCCUCAAGAUCUCCAUCAAUUCUUCUCACUAUAUCGAGAUUUUGUGCAUUCUACUUUUCUUAAUUUGUUUUAACAGUUUCUAAAAAUGUAAGAAAAUAAUUGAAAGGCUAAAAUGGCACACUUCUAAAAUUUGAAUAUUUGACAUAGUGUAUUAAAAGACGGGGACACAAGCCGAGAUAUAAAUUUUGAGACAUGGCGUGUAAGCCCUUGAUUCUUUUUAAUUUUGACAAUUUUUUAGUUUCAAUAACUUUGUAUAAUACCAUGAUAUAUAAUCAACUACAAUGUCCUAACAAUGCAAGCAUAAAAAAAAAACAAGAAUUAUCUUUGAAACAAAGUGUGAUGUACGUAUGGAGAUGUAAAUGAGUCGAGCAACACUUUCUUCAUGCUACUAAUUCAAAAAUUUCUCCUUUUUAAUGACAAAUUGGUACGAGUCUGUUUGCACAUAUCUUGACUAUUUCGCUGUAUAUCUAAGGGACAGAUUUAUAGUUCAGAUUAUGGGGCACAUAAAUCUAUGGUCUCUUUGUCAAACUCGAUAUUUUAUGUAUGUGUUUUCUAGAAUUGGUCUUAUAUUAUCUGCUCACCUUUAUACUCCAAAAGAAUGUAUAAUGUAUUUGGUGGAAUAAUGAGUUCAAAAAUGUUAGAUAGUUCAGAAAUGGUCACUUAGAUUAAGUAUGUGUUUUCUAGAAUUGGUCUUAUAUUAUCUGCUCACCUUUAUACUCCAAAAGAAUGUAUAAUGUAUUUGGUGGAAUAAUGAGUUCAAAAAUGUUAGAUAGUUCAGAAAUGGUCACUUAGCCUUACAGAAAUAAUUACAAUUACAUAAUUCAACUCCAGCACGAUGUGCUUUCAAUUGGUUAAUAAAUUAACAAACAACUUACAAUAGUAUGAUUCGUCAAUAAAAGAGAAAACUUUUGAUAUAGUUGUUUGUAAAUUGUUAUUUUCUAACACUUAUAGUUUUCACACCCCCAUGAAAUGCAAAGGGCACUAUUAUUAUCAACCGGGAAUAGAGUAAUUAAAAGAGACACCCCCAUGAAAUGCAAAGGGCACUAAUAUUAUCAACCGGGAAUAGAGUAAUAAAAAGAACAGAACUUGAAGAAAAAAAUAGGCUGUAAUUUUGAAGACCUUGCAAAAGUUUAGCCAUAACUAUUUUUUCCUGAUGAAAGGUUACGUUCCCUCAAAAUUCAGCAAAAAUUGGACGGGGCGCCCAUUUUUAACUUGUAGUUGCUUUAUUUUUUUGUUUGUACCCGUACCCACUUUUUGAAAAACUUCAGCUUUCCUUUCUCCUUCCCUUCUUCUCUAAAAAUUUCAGCUCUAGAGCUGAUGUUUUCCAGUUACAACAAAAAAACCUUUAGCUCUAGUCUCAAUCUCUGCAAUAUAAUGCAUGUCAUAUAUUCUUCUUCUUCUUCUUCUUCUUCUUCUUCUUCUUCGAGUUUCAAUCUGAAAUUCAGUCAAAANNNNNNNNNNNNNNNNNNNNNNNNNNNNNNNNNNNNNNNNNNNNNNNNNNNNUUCAAUCUGAAAUUCAGUCAAAAUCAAGUCUAAUCUUCACCAAAAUCCCUCAAAAUUGAGAUAUAAACUCCAAAUCAUAUUCUCGAUUAUUUUCAACAGCACAAAUCCAAACAAAUAAUAAUUUUUGAAAACUCAAAUUUGAAUUCAAAACUUUCAAGUUUUUUAAUGGCUGUCAAUGGUGGAAUUGCUGCUCUCUUUUCAUCUGCUUUGUAUUACUGAAAUUUGAGAUUAAGAGAUAGAGAGAGAUGUAGAGAUACUUCUUAAAACAGAGUGAAUCACAAAAACAGAGUAUGGAAAAUCUUGUUCUGUGUUGUGGAAGAUCAGAGUGAAGCCGUAAUUAUGGAAUGUUCUUGAUCUUCUUUGUGGAAGAUCUUGAAGAAUAUUUGAUUCCCCAAUUUUAGCGCGCCCAAAUAAGGAAUCCUACAGCUACGAUGAUUACUUAUUUAAUGCAUUAGAUUCCCCAAUUUUAGCGCGCCUAAAUAAGGAAUCCUACAGCUACGAUGAUUACUUAUUUAAUGCAUUAUCUAUAUUUUGUCGGAAUACUAUUAUCAUGAAGGGUCGCAAACUAUGAACGUAUUUGGUAAUAUAGUUUCCUAUAUGGUAUAGGAACGAAAAUUUUCCAAUUGAAAAGUAGUCACAGUUUUAAAAAUAAUCCAAAUUUAGUCACUUUUCAUGUAAAGACAAAUUUGAACGAAAAUACUAAGCAGAAUCAAGAAAAUAUUCUAGAAUAAUAUACUGGUCCAGCAUAAUAUGCUGAGAGUUCAUAGACAUGUGCUCUAAUUUCUAGUAUAUUAUGCCGGAACUUUCCCUGUGGUGGAGUUCCAGCAACAUAUGCUGGAAGUUUAUACACAUAUGCACCAAUUUAUAUUAUGCUGGAAUUUUUCGUGUUUCAGCUAUGCCACACAAGUCUUAGUUCUAAACUUCUCUUGUCCCAAUAUAGUUCCAAAAUGAGAAGCUUUGGGAAUUUAGGGCAAUGGCCUCUUCUUGCUGCUGCUUUGGCAAUUUGCUUUGUAGCCAACAUUGUAUUUGCUGAUUACUCUUAUGGGUAUAUUUCUACCUCAUCUUCUUACAUUUCUUACGUUUUACAAAUCACCAUCUUCACCCAAGUAUCAUGUACCUACUCUUACUACAAGUCACCUGCUUCAGCAAUACACUACUACAAGUCAUUAGUUCCCGUAAAAUAUUACAAGCGCCAGCUUCAGUAAAAUACUAAAAGUCACCAGUUGCAAUAAAAUACUACAAGGCGCCAGCUCCUGCAAAAUACUACAAGUUGCCAGCUCCUACUAAAUACUACAAGUCGCCAGUCCCCCCAAAAUACUACAUAUCGCCAGCUCCCGCUAAGUACUACAAAUCACCAGCUCCUUCAAAGGACUACUACAAGUUGCCAGCUCCCGCUAAAUACUACAAGUCGCCAACUACUGAAAAAUACUACAAGUCGCCAGUUGUUGAUUAUCUAGAUUUUGUGCAUUCUACUUUUCUUAAUUUGUUUUAACAGUUUCUAAAGAUGUAAGAAAAUAAUUGAAAGGCUAAAAUGGCACACUUCUAAAAUUUGAAUAUUUUACAUAGUGUAUUAAAAGACGGGGACAGAAGCCGAGAUAUAAAUUUUGAGACAUGGCGUGUAAGCCCUUGAAUCUUUUUAAUUUUGACAAUUUUUUAGUUACAAUAACUCUGUAUAAUACCAUGAUAUAUAAUCAACUACAAUGUCCUAACAAUGCAAGCAUCAAAAGAAAACAAGAAUUAUCUUUGAAACAAAGUGUGAUGUACGUAUGGAGAUGUAAAUGAGUCGAGCAACACUUUCUUCAUGCUACUAAUUUAAAAAUUUCUCCUUUUUAAUGACAAAUUGGUACGAGUCUGUUUGCACAUAUCUUGACUAUUUCACUGUAUAUCUAAGGGACAGAUUUAUAGUUCAGAUUAUGGGGCACAUAAACCUAUGGUCUCUUUGUCAAACUCGAUAUUUUAAGUAUAUGUUUUCUAGAAUUGGUCUUCUAUUAUGUGCUGGCCCUCAUACUCCAAAAGGAUGUAUAAUGUAUUUGGUGGAAUAAUGAGUUCAGAAAUGUUAGAUAGUUCAGAAAUGGUCACUUAGCCUUACAGAAAUAAUUACAAUUACAUAAUACAACUCCAGCACGAUGUGCUCUCAAUUGGUUAAUAAAUUAACAAACAACUUACAAUUGUAUGAUUCGUCAAUAAAAGAGAAAACUUUUGAUAUAGUUGUUUGUAAAUUUUUAUUUUCUAACACUUAUAGUUUUCACACCCCCAUGAAAUGCAAAGGGCACUAUUAUUAUCAACCGGGAAUAGAGUAAUUAAAAGAACAGAACUUGAAGAAAAAAAUAGGCUGUAAUUAUGAAGACCUUGCAAAAGUUUAGACAUAACUAUUUUUUCCUGAUGAAAGGUUACGUACCCUCAAAAUUCAGUAAAAAUUGCACGGGCACCCAUUUUUAACUUGUAAUUGCUUUAUUUUCUUGUCUGUAUCUGUACCCACUUUUUUUUAAAAACUUCAUCUUUCCUUUUUCCUUCCCUUCUUCUCCAAAAAUUUCAGCUCUAGAGCUGAAGUUUUUCAGUUACGACACAAAAACUUCAGCUCUAGUUUAAAUCUCUGCAAUAUAAUGCAUGUCAUGUAUUCUUCUUCUUCUUCUUUGUGUUUCAAUCUAAAAUUCAGUCAAAACCAAGUCUAAUCUUCACCAAAAUCCCUCAAAAUUGAGAAAUAAACUCUAAAUCAUAUUCCCGAUUAUUUUCAACAGCACCAAUCCAAACAAAUAAUAAUUUUUGAAAACCCAAAUUUGAAUUCAAAACUUUCAAGUUUUUUAAUGGCUGUCAAUGGUGGAAUACACUACUACAAGUCACUAGUUCCCGUAAAAUAUUACAAGCGCUAGUUCCCGUAAAAUACUAAAAGUCACCAGCUUCAGUAAGAUACUACAAGGCGCCUCCUGCAAAAUACUACAAGUCGCCAGCUCCUACUAAAUACUACAAGUCGCCAGUUCCCACAAAAUACUACAUAUCGCCAGCUCCCGCUAAAUACUACAAAUCACUAGCUCCUUCAAAGGACUACUACAAGUUGCCAGCUCCCGCUAAAUACUACAAGUUGCCAACUACUCCAAAAUACUACAAGUCGCCAGCUCCUUCAAAGAGCUACUACUGCCAGCUCCCGCUGAAUACUACAAGUCGCAAACUACUCCAAAAUACUACAAGUCGCCAGCUCCUUCAAAGAGCUACUACAAGUCGCCAGCUCCCGCAAAAUACUACAAGUCGCCAGCUCCCGCAAAAUACUACAGGGCGCUGGCUCCCCUAAAAUACUAUAAGUCACCGGUUCCCGCAAAAUACUACAAGUCCCCAGCUUCCGCUAAAUACUACAAGUCACCUGCUCCUUGAAUGAAGUACUACAAGUUGUCAGUUCCCGCAAAAUACUACAAGUCACCAGCUCUAUCAAAAAACUACUACAAGUCACCAUUACCUACAAAGUAUUACAAGUUACCAUCCCCAGUAAAAUAUUGCAGAUUGCCUACUCCCUCUAAAUAUUACAAGUCAUCACAUCCACCAAAAUAUAACAAGUCCCCAGUCGACUACAAGUCUUCACCAUCACUAACUUAUUAUGAAAAAUCACCUUCGUAUUACAAGUCACCUCCACCCCCUCUAAAAUACUAUGAGCAGUCUCCUUAUUACAAGUCACCUCCACCCCCACCAAAAUAUUAUGAGAAAUCGCCAUCUUCUUACAAAUCUCCACCUCCACCAUACUACAAAAGAAUCUACACCUUCCUAUAAAUCUCCUCCACCUCCACCAAAAUACUAAGUGUAUUUGCCGAUAACUUACAAUUUGCCUAUGAAAAAUCACCAUCUUAUUAUUCACCCCCGCCAACCGCAAACUAUUACAAGCAAACUUCUAUCUAUGCCUCUCCUCUACCACUUGAGAAGUACGAGCAAUCCGUCAUCUAUGCUUCACCUCCACCCCCAUCAGCAUCUCAU